ACAAAGGAGAAACGCCAGGCUUGUAUGG
rnacentral:sRNA from 1 species